rnacentral:rRNA from 1 species
UGCGUAGGCGGGGCAAUUAGUCAGUGGUGAAAUCCUGCGGCUUAACCGUAGAACUGCCAUCGAUACUGUUGCCCUUGAGUAUAGUUGAGGUGGGCGGAAUGUGUAAUGUAGCGGUGAAAUGCAUAGAGAUUACACAGAACACCAAUUGCGAAGGCAGCUCACUAAGCUAUAACUGACGCUGAGGCACGAAAGCGUGGGGAGCGAACAGGAUUAGAUACCCUGGUAGUCC